GACACAGGGAUCACAUUUACGAAGGGAUCUUUCAAGAGCCUCAAAAGCAGGACUACUUCAUGAGCCAACUCGUAGUGACAAGCCCUGCCCCUGCAAGUGAGAAGGGGGGGCGCUUCCAAAUCAAGCACCAUUUGUCAAGCCAAAUACCAGAGUCUCUCGCCUCUUGGAGUUUAUGGGCCAAUUUCUCCCAAGAUGCGUGAGCUUGUUGUGCCGCCGCCAGUGGACUCGCCAGCGGCUGAGCAGCUCAGAGUGACAGCGACUCAGCGUCUGGAAGCCCCACUGGGUUGUGAAAUGAAGAAGGCCCUCUUUGCCCCUGAUGCAGCCCGGGCGAGCCCCGAGGCUCCAGAAGCGAGCAUCUCCCAGCUCCUAAAGAGCAGACAUAUAUCCUGCCUUUAAGACAAGACUACAAUUGCAAAUCUGAGAAUAUAAAUUACACUUUCAUCUUU
rnacentral:lncRNA from 1 species